GACGAACGCUGGCGGCGUCCUUAACACAUGCAAGUCGAACGGAAAGGUCCUGCUUUUGUGGGGUGCUCGAGUGGCGAACGGGUGAGUAACACGUGAGUAACCUGCCCUUGACUUUGGGAUAACUUCAGGAAACUGGGGCUAAUACCGGGUAGGAGCUCCUGCUGCAUGGUGGGGGUUGGAAAGUUUCGGCGGUUGGGGAUGGACUCGCGGCUUAUCAGCUUGUUGGUGGGGUAGUGGCUUACCAAGGCUUUGACGGGUAGCCGGCCUGAGAGGGUGACCGGCCACAUUGGGACUGAGAUACGGCCCAGACUCCUACGGGAGGCAGCAGUGGGGAAUAUUGCACAAUGGGCGGAAGCCUGAUGCAGCAACGCCGCGUGCGGGAUGACGGCCUUCGGGUUGUAAACCGCUUUCGCCUGUGACGAAGCGUGAGUGACGGUAAUGGGUAAAGAAGCACCGGCUAACUACGUG
rnacentral:rRNA from 1 species